rnacentral:rRNA from 1 species
UACGUAGGGACCGAGCGUUGUCCGGAUUCAUUGGGCGUAAAGAGCUCGUAGGCGGCCACUCAAGUCGAAUGUGAAACCUCGAGGCUUAACCUCGAGCCUGCAUUCGAUACUGGGUGGCUAGAGUCUGGUAGGGGGAUCUGGAAUUCCUGGUGUAGCGGUGGAAUGCGUAGAUAUCGAGAGGAACACCUGCGGCGAAGGCGGGUAGCUGGGCCGACACUGACGCUGAGGCGCGAAAGCCAGGGGAGCGAACGGG